rnacentral:rRNA from 1 species
GAUGAACGCUGGCGGCGUGCCUAAUACAUGCAAGUCGAACGGUGAGGAGCAAUCCUCACAGUGGCGAACGGGUGAGUAACGCGUUGGUGACCUGCCCCGGAGUGUGGGAUACCAGGCCGAAAGGCUUGCUAAUACCGCAUGAGCUUAGGGAGUUUAGAAGAUUCUAAGCAAAGGAGAAAUCCGCCCUGGGAGGGGCCUGCGACCCAUCAGCUAGUUGGUAAGGUAACGGCUUACCAAGGCGAUGACGGGUAGGGGACCUGAGAGGGUGACCCCCCACAAUGGAACUGAAACACGGUCCAUACACCUACGGGUGGCAGCAGUAGGGAAUAUUGCUUAAUGGGCGCAAGCCUGAAGCAGCAACGCCGCGUGUGCGAUGAAGGCCUUCGGGUCGUAAAGCACUUUUUGCUGGGAAAAGGAAGGAUGGUACCAGCAGAAUAAGCCUCGGCUAACUACGUGCCAGCAGCCGCGGUAAAACGUAGGAGGCGAGCGUUAUCCGGAUU